CCUAAAGCAGUGAGUUGUAGAAAUGACAGUAUGUGUCAUCUUGAGCUGUUAUUCAACUUAAUUUUUUACUGUGUGACUGGUUUCAGUUGAAGACCAUUUUCAGGCACCUGUUGUAUAUACAUCGUGGAUACGGGAAAAUUUGGGAUGAAAAGAAUGUUUGAAAAUUAUAGUAACAAUACAAGCAACACUUACAGAAUUUGAUUACCAGCAAAAACUAUAUAUAUCAAAAGAAUACAAUGUCAGAAAUAUAAAUUAAAUAUCCACAAGCAUUGUAUGUAUUGUUAUUACAAUUUUGAAGUAUCCUUUUUGCCUGAAUUUUUCCUGUUUCCAUGCUGUGGGUACAACAGAUGCUCAAGAAUGGUCUCUGACCAAAACUGGUUGCAUCGUAAAAAAAAUUUAUGAACAGCUUAAAGUGUUACGUGAUGUCAUUUCUACAAUUCGUAUAAGCUGCAGACCACAGUUAACAAAAAAUAUUUUAAGAACAGUGAAGUUUCUGUUCAUACGUUGUGUGCCCUAUAAUUCAAGUAUUUUUAAAGUUUUUAAGAAUGUUAUACGCCAAGCUCCUCCAUGGGAAAGCAGUUUCUGCUUCGGUUACAUGGCACAAAUUAUAGAAUACCUUGUUAUAUGGUCAGAAGCAAAUGUCACCAGAUGUUAAUACCUGUAAAUCAUCAUCAUCAUGCUUCUUACAACCGUGUACAAUAAUUUGUGUGUGGUGUUGUGGACAAGUGUUAUGGUUGAAAUGGCUACUGUUGUUCUGGGUAGCAGCCAUGAUUAUGAAACUUCCUGACAAAUUAAAACUGUGUGCCGGGCCAGGACUACAUCCUGAAACCUUGUCUUCCGUGGACAAUGCUGAUACCAACUGUGCUGUUCAAUCUGAUUCAUGAUUUUUUCUUACACCUUUCAGAUUACUUUUGAGGCCACAAUCCUUGCUUCCACUUGUAUAUAUAGCGAGAGAGAGUUGUAUAUGUAGCAAGAGAGAGAGAGAUAGAGAGAGAGAGAGAGAGAGAGAGAGAGAGAGAGAGAAUCUUCUGUCCCAUAAUUUUAUGACAUUAUUAUUAUUAUUAUUAUUAUUAUUAUUAUUACCUUCACUUUCUCAGACGUUAAGUCCGGUUAAAAAUGGAGUGACGCGGACCUUGAUCAAGCGUCACUUCCUUUUAACUGUACGGUAUGUGUUAUAUUGCAUUUAGGAACUUUCGGGUAAUUGAACAUGUAUCAAUAAUUACGGAUUUCUGUAGCUGUAUAUAUAUGUUUGGAUGUAGCUGUAUUGCAUUGAUGUACUGGUGGAUAUUGUGUGGUAUGACUCCUGUAGUUGAUAGUAUAAUUGGUAUGAUGUCAACUUUAUCCUGAUGCCACAUGUCUUUGACUUCCUCAGCCAGUUGGAUGUAUUUUUCAAUUUUUUCUCCUGUUUUCUUUUGUAUAUUUGUUGUAUUGGGUAUGGAUAUUUCGAUUAGUUGUGUUAAUUUCUUCUUUUUAUUGGUGAGUAUGAUAUCAGGUUUGUUAUGUGGCGUUGUUUUAUCUGUUAUAAUGGUUCUGUUCCAGUAUAAUUUGUAUUCAUCAUUCUCCAGUACAUUUCGUGGUGUAUACUUGUAUGUAGGAAUGUGUUGUUUUAAAAGUUUAUGUUGUAAGGCAAGCUGUUGAUGUAUUAUUUUUGCGACAUUGUCAUGUCUUCUGGGGUAUUCUGUAUUUGCUAGUAUUGUACAUCCGCUUGUGAUGUGAUCUACUGUUUCUAUUUGUUGUUUACAAAGUCUGCAUUUAUCCGUUGUGGUAUUGGGAUCUUUAAUAAUAUGCUUGCUGUAAUACCUGGUGUUUAUUGUUUGAUCCUGUAUUGCAAUCAUGAAUCCUUCUGUCUCACUGUAUAUAUUGCCUUUUCUUAGCCAUGUGUUGGAUGCGUCUUGAUCGAUGUGUGGCUGUGUUAGAUGAUACGGGUGCUUGCCAUGUAGUGUUUUCUUUUUCCAAUUUACUUUCUUCAUGUCUGUUGAUGUUAUGUGAUCUAAAGGGUUGUAGAAGUGGUUAUGAAAUUGCAGUGGUGUAGCCGAUGUAUUUAUAUGAGUGAUUGCCUUGUUUAUUUUGCUAGUUUCUGCUCGUUCUAGAAAGAAUUUUCUUAAAUUGUCUACCUGUCUAUAAUGUAGGUUUUUUAUGUCGAUAAAUCCCCUCCCUCCUUCCUUUCUGCUUAAUGUGAAUCUUUCUGUUGCUGAAUGUAUGUGAUGUAUUCUAUAUUUGUGGCAUUGUGAUCGUGUAAGUGUAUUGAGUGCUUCUAGGUCUGUGUUACUCCAUUUCACUACUCCAAAUGAGUAGGUCAAUAUUGGUAUGGCAUAGGUAUUUAUAGCUUUUGUCUUGUUUCUUGCUGUCAAUUCUGUUUUCAGUAUUUUUGUUAGUCUUUGUCUAUAUUUUUCUUUUAGUUCUUCUUUGAUAUUUGUAUUAUCUAUUCCUAUUUUUUGUCUGUAUCCUAGAUAUUUAUAGGCAUCCGUUUUUUCCAUCACUUCUAUGCAGUCGCUGUGGUUAUCCAAUAUGUAAUCUUCUUGUUUAGUAUGUUUUCCCUUGACUAUGCUAUUUUUCUUACAUUUGUCUGUUCCAAAAGCCAUACUUAUAUCAUUGCUGAAUCCUUCUGUUAUCUUUAGUAAUUGGUUGAGUUGUUGAUUUGUUGCUGCCAGUAGUUUUAGAUUAUCCAUGUAUAGCAAAUGUGUGAUUUUGUGUGGGUAUGUUCCAGUAAUAUUGUAUCCAUAAUUUGUAUUAUUUAGCAUGUUGGAUAGUGGGUUCAGAGCAAGGCAGAACCAGAAAGGACUUAAUGAGUCUCCUUGGUAUAUUCCACACUUAAUCUGUAUUAUUAUUAUUAUUAUUAUUAUUAUUAUUAUUAUUAUUAUUACCAGCUUCUGUAUCUUUUGAUUGAGUAUAGUUACGGCAGCACAUGAAUUGUGGUGAGCCUGGUGUUUUUACAAGACUUUUUCCAGUUGCCAGGACAGUUGUCAUAAUUACUCAAAUCAACAAUUACUUGCACUUGGAGCAGACCAAAUGAUUCCUCUGUACCCCUCGCACCUAUUUUAUACUUUUCAGACUGUGUUUCACACAUUUUGUGACCUACCUGUUUCAUUUAACACAGUUAAUACAGUUGCAGAUUGUGGGUACGUGUUUAAUGUUUUUGCACGAUUACUGCUGCUUGUGUUUCAGUGUUGUGUACAAUGCCAGACCCAUCAAUAGAAAAAUUAAUUCUGAUGCUGCAUAUUGCACAUCUGUUCUGAAGGUCUUUACACACUCCCUUUUUCUGCUGCUUUUGUGUUGUGAUGUGUGGUUUAGAAAAUUUCAGAUUGCUUUACGGUUUCAUGUGCUCUGUAUUAGAUGCAUUUUUAGUGUACGUACAAGCACAUCGGUUACUUAUGAUGUAGUUGUAGUUAAGAGUUCUCGUUUUAGUGUUUAAUUAUUAUUGUGAUAUGUAGCACACUGUUUAAUUGUACUUUAGUUUUAAAAUACCCAAAGACUGCUUCAUUUCAGGGGUUUGGGAAGGCAGACCACAGCAAGACAGUAGAAAUUCUGAAGACUGCAUAUCCUGUUUACAACAUUACUUGGAGUGAUGAAGGAUACUGAUCUGCUCAGGUUGUAAUAUUUGACAUUGCAGCUUUUGAAAAUGGAGCUGGAUGUUGUGCCCUCUUUCCUAUUGGAGUGUUUCUCUGUGAUCAGAAUUGGAGGCAGACAAUUCACUUGAACGUCCAUUGCUGUUGUUGAUGUCUUUGAAUCAUGUUGUUUCUUUGUGAUUAAUAAAAAAGUUAUACAAUCCAA